CAGGUACUCCCUCCGUUUGGAAUUACUUGUCACGGAAAUGGAUGUAUCUAGAUGUAUUUUAGUUCUAGAUACAUCCAUAUCCGAGACAAAUAAUCCAAACGAAGAGAGUACUGU
rfam:Triticum aestivum genome assembly, contig: Triticum_aestivum_CS42_TGACv1_scaffold_306526_4AS